rnacentral:rRNA from 4 species
GAGCGGACACGAAGUUAACUGUAGCCUCUCUGGGGGACGUUAACGGCGUCGAGCGAAGGACGGGUGAGUAAGGCCGAGGAAAUGGCCCUGAUGUGGGGAAUAACCAUUGAAAACGAUGGCUAAUACCGCUUGAUGCCUACAGGCCAAAGAGGGGGACCUUCGGGCCUCUCGCGUUGGAUAUGCCUAGGAGGGAUUAGCUAGUUGGGGAGGUAAGGGCUCACCAAGGCGACGAUCCCUAACUGGACUGAGAGGAUGAUCACCCUGACUGUGACUGAGACACGGUCCUCACUCCUACGGGAGGCAGCAGUGAUCUUUAUUGCAGAAUGAGCGCAAGCCUGAUGCAGCCCUGCCGCGUGUGUGAAGAAGGCCUUCCGGUUGUAAAGCACUUUCAGUCAUGAGGAAGGUUUAAGCAACUGUAGCGGAUUUAUUUGACGUUAGCGACAGAACAAGCACCGGCUAACUCCGUGCCAGCAGCCGCGGUAAUACGGAGGGUGCGAGCGUUAAUCGGAAUUACUGGGCGUAAAGCGCAUGCAGGUGGUUUGUUAAGACGUAUGUGAAAGCCCGGGGCUCAACCUCGGAAUAUNAUUUGAAACUGGCUUACUAGAGUACUGUAAAAGGGGGUAGAAUUUCAGGUGUAGCGGUGAAAUGCGUAGAGAUCUGAAGGAAUACCGGUGGCGAACUCUUCCCCUGGACAGAUACUGACACUCAGAUGCGAAAGCGUGCGAGCAAAUUAGAUUACAUACCCUGCUACUCCACGACGUAAACGAUGUCUACUUGUAGAGUUGUGGCCUCGAUCCGUGCUUUCGGAGCUCACUCGUUAAUCAGACCGCCUGGGUGAGUACGGUCGCAUGAUUCUCACUCAAAUGAAUUGACGGGCCGCCCGCACAAUCGGAGGAGCAUGUAGCGCGCGGAUUAGAUAUACCUGGUAGUUCCNCCGUAAACGAUGAGUCUAUAAGUGUUAGAGGGUUUCCACCCAUUCCCAGAGAUAGGGCGUUCCCUUUCGGGGGUCAGAAACACAGGUGGCACAUGGUUGUUCUCAUCUUGUUUCGAAAGAUUGGGGUAAAAGUCCCACAGAGAGCACACCCUUUCAUCUUAGUCCACAGCAUUCAGUUGGGCACUCCAAGGAGACUGCCGGUGACAAACCGGAGGAAGGUGGGGAUGACGUCAAAUCAUCAUGCCCCUUAUGACUAGGGCUACACACGUGCUACAAUGGAGCGUACAAAGGGCUGCGAGACCGCGAAAUUGAGCGAAUCCCAAAAAACCAUUCUCAGUUCGGAUUGCAGUCUGCAACUCGCCUCCAUGAAGUCGGAAUCGCUAGUAAUCGCGGAUCAGCAUGCCGCGGUGAAUACGUUCCCGGGCCUUGUACACACCGCCCGUCACCCCCCGAGAGUGGGUAACACCAAGAAGUCGUGUAGUUACGGUUACGCUGUCACGAUC